GACGAACGCUGGCGGCGUGCUUAACACAUGCAAGUCGAACGAUGAAGAAAAGAAUUGAAGCUUCGGCAGAAAUUCAUUUCGGAUUAGUGGCAGACGGGUGAGUAACGCGUGAGCAACCUACCUCUUACAAAGGGAUAGCCUCGGGAAACCGGGAUUAAUACCAUAUAACAUUGCGACGAAGCAUUUCGAUGCAAUCAAAGCUACGGCGGUAAGAGAUGGGCUCGCGUCCCAUUAACCAGAUGGUGAGGUAACGGCUCACCAUAGUAACGAUGGGUAACCGGCCGGGGAGGGGUAACCGGUACCACGGAAACUAGGCAACGUUCCAGACCCUAACGGGAGGCGGCAGUGGGAAUAAUGCACAAUGGAGGGAACUCUGAUGCAGCGACGCCGCGUGAGUGAUGAAGGAAUUCGUUUCGUAAAACUCUGUUCUAUGGGAAGAAAAGGACAGUACCAUAGGAGAAAGCUCCGGCUAAAUACGUG
rnacentral:rRNA from 1 species